rnacentral:rRNA from 1 species
UCUACGGGAGGCAGCAGUGAGGAAUAUUGGUCAAUGGACGAGAGUCUGAACCAGCCAAGUAGCGUGAAGGAUGACUGCCCUAUGGGUUGUAAGCUUCUUUUAUAAAGGAAUAAAACGAGGCACGUGUGCCUUUUUGCAGGUCUUUUUUGAAUACGGAUCGGGUAACUACGUGUCAGCGGCCGCGGUCAUACGGGGGAGCCGAGCGUUAUCCGGAUUUAUUGGGUGUAAAGGGGGCGCAGACGGCAAUGCACGCCAGGGGUGAAAACCCGGGGUGCACCACCGGGACGUGUCUGGGAACUGCAUGGCUGGAGUACAGGAGGGGCAGGCGGAAGUCCUAGUGUAGCGGUGAAAUGCGUAGAUAUUAGGAGGAACACCGGUGGCGAAGGCGGCCUGCUGGACUGUGACUGACGUUGAGGCCCGAAGGCGUGGGGAGCAAACAGGAUUAGAUACCCGGGUAGUC